GGAGAGGUGGCCGAGUGGUUGAAGGCACCGGUUUGCUAAACCGGCAUACGGGGUAAACCCGUAUCAAGGGU
rnacentral:tRNA from 1 species